AGAGCGAGACUCCGAAUUAAAAAAAAAAAAAAAGAAGCCAUUUCUUGAUCCUGUUUACCUGUGUAACACCAUCUUCUCUUUUGCUGCAGUGAAGUUGUCUGUGUUUGUCUUCAUUUCCUCAAUUCUCAUCAUUCUUGAACUUCUGUAGUCCUCCUUUCUUUUACUACUCAAUUUACACUAUCCCCAUGGUCAUCAGAGGUUUUUCCCUUGGUCUCCUUUAUGGCACCUGACACCACUCAAGCUACUACUUCCUCACGUCUACAUUUGCUCUCUUUCGUCCCAGAAAAUUACUGGAUAUGGUCUAGGAUAUAAUUGCUCCCCUUGUCCCCACAUAUACCACACACACCUUGCCUCUUCUACAAACCUAUCCAGAAUCUUCUUAAUUCCCCUCACAUUCCCAAAAUGAGCUGAGCAGUCUUUGAAGUAAAAAUUAAGCUAUAGUUAAGUUUUACCUCCAUUUCACUUGUGCGUUUUGCUCCUUUUUUUUUUUUUUUUUUUUUUUGACCUCUUUCAAAUGAUCUUUGGGCUUCGAGUACCAUGAUCUACCCAGAUUUGCAUUCCCUGGGCUGUGUUCUAGUUCUGGUCAUGUCAGCUUUUCCCUUCUGAUGAAUCCUUGUAAUUACUUGAGACUCAUUCUGUCAGGCAAUAUCCACAGUGAAGAAGCCAGUGUGCAUUGUGGCAAAGCCCAGGAAGACCUAGGUGUGGAUUUUUGCUUUACCAUUUCCUGCCUGUGUGACUUAUGCCAUGGGGCUUCACUGGUGUGGGCACCAGUUUCUCAUCUCUUAGCUGAUAUCAUUUUGUUGGGAGGAUUACAUAGAGUAAUAUGUAUAAUAUAUCUGAUAACUAAGCAGUUUCAGUUAGUGGUAGUUGUUUUUAUUUGACAUAGUCUUGGUAAGUAUUAAUUUCUUCCUAAGCCCAGGGUAUUUGUAUUUUGACAACAAAUAAGUUUUAAAGAAAUCAAUCUAUACAUAUUAUGGAAAUUUGGACCCCUAUUUCCUAGUUGAGGAAAGGUAUCUGGCACCCAUCACCACAUAGGAGCCCCUGGGCUCCAGGACACCAGGGAAAAGAGGUUAAGUAGGUCCCACGUCUCUGACAUGAUAGCCAGUGAUUCAGUCAGGGUACAAUUGGGAAAACAGAACCCAUACCACAGGGACUGGUUACAAAAGUCUUGAAUAGCUAAAUGCAAAACAGGAUGGUUAGGUUGCAUUAUGUUGACAACAGUGACUCAGGUGGGCAGGCCCUACCUCCUUGAGGUGUUAUCUGUGGACAGAUUUUUGUGUGAUUGUGGCUCAACCCUGGAUUUCUUUCUUCAUGUGCCUGUUCUUAAUGGGCCCAGGAGAGGUAAUUCAAGGGAGCAAGGGACCUGUAGAAUGAUCAUGUCCUCUUAUUUCUAGCCAUAAGGUUAUGAAUCGUGUAUCUCGGGGGUCUGAUUCUAAAGGAAAUAAGUGUCUGCCAUAGCAGGAGAAUGGAAGGCAGACAGCUGUUCCUAUUACUAGAGUUUUAGCAGCCCUCGUAACUCAGCUAGCCCAGACUAGGAUCUCAAUAUCUCACUUAUUUCUUUACAUCUGUCUGAUGAACAGUAUAAGAAAACAAAUGAUCACUUAGAGGAUUCUGUUUGGUAGUUAAAACCGUAUUAAAAUAGGGUAGAAAUUAAGCCUCCUUGAUGGUGAAGAGAUUGGGAACCACCACUCCAGUGUUAGAAAAUACCAAAUGACAGAAGGUGGGCUAUAUUAAGUGGGAAUUCCCAAACCCCACCCCCUGGAAGGAAUGCUUGGUGACAAGCCUUAGAGGAGAGAGACGCUUGUCUAGCGCAUUGUCUGUGUGCCCAGAAAGAGAUGUGCACACCUUGAGACACUGAGAGAAGACCCUAGCGAGGAGAAGCCCCAGGCCAGCUUGUCAGCACAGGGCAUUGGAGGCCCCCAACCAGCUCCAAGUUCUGAACAGCACACAAAGGCGUGUACUGCUUCUUCAAAGGCAUGUACUGCUUCUCAUACCCAGCAGAGGCCUUGCACCAGGCCUCCCCAUGCAAAUCAGUGUCUCUGCAGGGUAGGUAAAGGACCUCUAGCUGUGCUCCCUAUGGGGGAACAAAUAUCCUGUGGGUCACUGAGAGUCUGGAAGAUUGCCCAACAUUUAUUUACUGAUCUGUGUUCACCACAGAGCCUAAGGUAUUUAUUAAUAUUGUUUCAACCAGUACAAGUGAUUCCUUCAUUUAGUGGUCAUCUCUGCACUCCACCACAGACUUUUGGGAAUUACAAGAUGAAAAGGGCCAGAUCCUCACCCUGGCAUAGCUCAGAGAAUUUGAUUGGGGAAGUAGGGACAUAGACGUGAUCACUACACCGUAAUUUACUAAGCUGUGAGAACUGGAGGUGCAUCAGUGACCAGAAUGCAUGUGAGCCAGAGGUAGAAGGUACUGUAGACAAAAGGAACAGCAUGCGCCGUAGGCUGUAUCAUUAGGUACAAUUUUCUGUCCUUGGAGGAGUCUUUUUAACCCUAAGACAAAAAUUAUGAAUAUAGAAAGAGGUCACGGUUCAUCUUUGCAGUUCUUUCAGGAGAAAGCUUGCUGUAAUUCACUUUCUAAGUUAAAAGAAAACAAAAAACAAAAAAAGAGUAAAUGAUAUGAAUAUCACCUGAAAGAAUCUGAGGUCUCAAACUUGGGAGGAUCUUUGAACAACAAUCUUGGGGAAUGCCUAACAGUUCAUACUCAUUUCUUGAUGUCUACAGAUGGAAACUCUACAGCCUCACAUAUGUUUCUUUUUUCUCUUAACUACUUUAUACUCACAGAAAAUCAGUAUUCAGCACUUCUAAUAGCAGGUCUAGUGGGAGCUUGAGAUCAGAACAGAGUUCCAUAGAGGGAAACUGAGGACACACAAGGCAGAGCAGUACCCCCUCAUCCAUGGGGACCUGUCUGACUGGAGGUAAGGGAGGAGAUUCUAGUCCACAGAUAAUCAGGGAAGGUUAAAACUAUGUGUGUUUGUGACAUUUUUGCUCUCUUAGACCCAGAUACAGGCUGGAAAUCCUUUGGGUUUUGGUGACUCAAAGUGUGGCCAAAAGAACCAGCAGCUUCAGCUUCUCUGGGAGAACAUAUGAGUGCAGAAUUUCAAGCCCGCACAAAGUUUUUAAAGAGCUCCCUCUUUGCCCACUAGCAGGGCAAUAGCUGGUGUUGAAAACAGUGGCUGCUUGGCAAGCCUGGAUCUCCAAGUGACUCCAAGUGACCCCCUCAGCAACUCCUGAUGAACAGGACUGAAACCAAUAACAAGGCAAGUCAACCAAAGGUUCUGUGGUGUAGACAAGACAACAAAAGGACAGACUACCUGUGGAACCUGGCCUUGUUCUUCUGCGGCACUAAGUGACAUUUGUGCUCCGUAAGAUCUUUGCAAACCACACACAAGAAUUGCUGGUCAUCCUGCCAAUAGAUGCUGCUCACAGAACCAAAUUUCUUGUGCUGGAUUGUCACUCAUGGGCUUGAGAGUAGGAGACUGGAGACCAAGGUGGCUAGAAUCCAGUUGGGCCUGACGUGUCCCUGUUGAAAGAGCUCCUUGUGGAAUGGACAGCACAUGGCUCCCGUGGUGGAUCUGAUAGUGGUACAGCACCAAGUGAUGCAGGCCUGCCUGGGCCACAGCCACAGAAGAUGCUCCCAGGGUCCCCCGUGUACUCCAGACACACUGCAGGCCACCUCUCCCAGCAGGUUCCUAGUCAUGGGCCCCAUCAUCAUGACUUCUGUCCAAGGUGUGCUCAGAAAUCUCCUCCUUAACACCUGUGACUUUCUGACAGGUGGAGGAUGUGGUCAGGAACGGGAAAAGGAUUUAAGACGGGAAGAGGGAGGGGUUCAGGAUGAGGAGAGAUAAUCUGUGCCACAGAUGCUGGCCCUGCAGUUACCUCCCACCUAGUCCAUGCACACACAUUCUAAUCCCCUCCCAUUCCUCUACAUGCUGUGGCCAGAGAGGCCUUUCUCAAAGUGGAAGUCUCAUCCUCACUUCUCUGGUUACAGUGCUGGGCCGUGAAUGACUUAAAAGGCUAAGCAGGAACUGUCUGCACACUCCCCGCUCCUGCCUCCUACCUUGUUUCCCUCCAGUCGCGAGAGCAAACAUUGAUUGAGCAUUAACAAUGUGCCAGGCUUGUCCUAAGUCCUUCAUAUGUAUUCACUCAAACAAUCCUCACAACAUUCCUGUCACAUCUCCUGUUUCACAGUGAGGGUUCUAAAGCACGCAGUGGGUGAGGAACUUGUCCAGGGUCACACAACUAAGUGGGGGUGGAGAAACAUCAAAUCUAGGUGGUCCAGGUGGUGGCCAGAACCCAUCAGCACCUCACUACAGCUGCCUCCAGCUUCUCCCUCUAGGAAAUACUCUUCCCUGUCAACUCCUGUUGUCCUCUGGGCUCAGUUGACAUGUCAUCUCCUCAAGGAGGACAUCCUGAGAUGCUCCCCGACUAGGGUGGGCACCCACUUCCACACUUCAAAUGCAUGUCUAUUUGACGUGUGUAUUGCUGCAUCCCCACUGCAUGGCAGAUAGCAGGCCCCUAAUAAGUAUGAUUUGAGCAAAUAAAUAUGGUUAUUCAAAAAAUAGGGAGGACUUCUUGUUUCUAGUAAUGGUGGGCUAGGACAUUUGGACCAACCCUCCUGCAGAAAAUAGCCAUUUAUUUUGAUGCAAUAUACCUGGCUACGACUAUGGAGAUUUCAAAUAUUUGGAGGGCUAUUAUGUGAAGAUUUAUACUUACUCUUGGUGACAUAGAGGUUAGAAAUUGGUCGUUUCCAUAGAGUAUGAGAGACACAGAAUUGUGCUCAUCAUAAGGAUCUUUUUUAAAAAUUAGACUUAAUAAAAUGGGCUGCUUUGGUAGGUGGUGAGUUGUCUGUCAUGAAAGAGAUUCAGCCACUUGCUCUGAGAAAGCUGGAGAAUAUCGACAUUGCAAGGGUCGACCACCUCAUCUCUGAGGCCCCCUCCUCGCUUAGGUUGCCAUUGUACGUGGAAUACUGGGCUGAGUGUCAGAGAACUUGGGUUCCACAAGCUAUGCGAUCAUGGCUGGUUAUUGGAUCUAUUCCUAGUACCUGUUAGUUAAGCUGACCCAUCAGUACUGACCCACUUCACAGAGUUACGAAGGGAUUAAAUUUGGUAUUACAUAUAAAUUUUUAUUUUGUUUGCUUUUUGUUGUUUUUUGUUUUGCUUUUUUCUUUGCAUUAUGAAAUCCCAAGUCAACUUUUUCCAUUCUUUUAUUUCUUAAAAAAUUGACAUCAUCAUAACAAAAUAAUUUUUAAAAUAAAAUAAAAAAAAAAAAACCCUGCAACCCCACUAUCUAAUACAAUAAUCAUACUUUUUUCUCUCUAUUCUCUUUUAUUGUGACCAAGGAUGACUUUGGGCAUUGAUGUGAGGAACUAUUUCGUUUAACACCCUGCUAUCUGAACAUGAUUCACACUCAGCCUUUCACCACCCCGCAAGUAGCUACACAUGAUAUGAUAAUAGUAUUGGUGGUGGUUUUAGAGAGUUGGAGAGAAAACUGAAGUUGGAUUUGGGUAAAAGAAAAAAGAGUGGGCAUUAUGUUUUCUCCAUUCUAAAGCCCAUGGAGCAGUGUUAAUUGUUCCCACCCCUCUGCUAUUCUGUCUUUUCAGUUACUGUGUGCAGAAAUGUGAUUGAGAUUCAAGUCAGGGCCUCUGCCCUUUUCCCUCCGGAAACAAAACCAAGAUAAUUUAUCCUGAACACACACGGUGAAAAAAGGAAGGAAGGGAGCGGGGAGAAAAAGUCCAGGUCUUACCUGGGAUUCUCUGUCUCCUGCAACAUGAAGGGUUUAGCCUGGGAGGAGGUGGUGAGAACUCUGGGAGAGAAAAAAGAAGGAAAGAAUAGUUUUACCCAUGCUGAAGUUAAACCUUUACCUAGAGAAGCAAAACAAACAAACAAACAAAAAAACACUGUUCCAUUUUGUGCCUCCCUUCCUAGAGUUUUGGCCAGAGGUUUAACUAAGUAAUUGGUUUUACCAGGGCACUCACUCCUCUUAUCCCGAGUCUGUUUGCCUCCCUCCCCAUCAUCCUCCUCACCUCUUUCAGGCAGGGUGGGGAUAGCAGCAGGAGGAGAUUCUGGGAGCUUGGCAACUCCUGUAAGGACCGCAGGACAGCCCCUGUGUGGGGAUGCGUGGUGCCCCAUCGGCCGUCCUUCUGAGAAGAAGAAUGCACUGCCUUCACUUUACUGUGUUAGAGUCCAUCCAGACGGUUCUAUCCAAAGAAUAGUUUCUUUUUUCCCCAACAGGCAAUCAGGAAAUGAUUCCUUUCCCGACUACUUUUGUCUAGUGCCUGGGAAUCUUGAGUCAGUCCCUCAGUAAGUCAGUGACUAAGGAAAUCUCCCCUCUCUGAGCCUCCCAGUUCAUGUUGCUUAGGGAACCUGAUAUUUUCAUGAAAUCUGCCUACACAUGGGCAGCCCAAGAGCAGAGCUAAUGGUGGUGACCAAAGUGAACAAAGAAGUACAGUUGUGCCAGCUUCCUAGUUGCCCAUGUGGACAAGUCAGCAGGAUCAGGACACGAGGAAGAGUAAAUGUGAGACAGUCAUGUGACUUCUGUGAUAAUAUUCUAGAUUUUUAAACCCUGAAAUUUUGCUAAAAUUUUGGUGAAACCCUGAACUUUCUUCAUUGCAUAUACUGGCCCUAUCUGUACCAUCAUACAACUAUCUCACAUUAAAGCUAUUUUUCUUGAGCACUGAUGAGUAAGGUUGGUAUGUUUGAGUUCCUCAGAUCAACAAAAACCCAUUUCCCUGUAAGUCUUAUGUUUAGUAUUUAAGGAACUAAAACUUAAAUACAUUGUGUGAAAUGGUUGACACUUCACUGAUAAUGAUUUAUUGCUUGGAUUAAUAAAUUUUCCAAAAGUUGUCUUAUUAUGUAGAAUAUGGUUUGCAACCAGCAGAACCAUUAAUCUAUACUGUGAUAAAAUGCACCAUGUAUAAUUGUUUAAAAGCUUCUACUUAAUGAUGUAACAUGCUGUAUUUAAUUACACAUUUGGCUAAACUGUAUACUAACAUCUGAUGGCAUUUUUCCAGUGUGUUGCUUUUUUCAAAUACUUUAUUGUACAAAGCUGUUCUUAAUAUUUUUCAAGUUUUUCUCUUUGAAUUUUGCUAAUGUUUUCCUUGAAUUAUGAGCACUGACAGAAUGUGCUUAGCACUUUUGGCUAUUCACACAGCUUUUGAGCAUGAUUUGCAUCCAGUAUUGACAUUGCUAGCAAUAAAAAGCCAUCUGUGAGUUUUGUCAAAA